AACUUUAUUUACUAGGUACCAGGUGUGCUUUUAAAAUAAAGGUUUUUUGAAAAAGCAAUUGGUAACCUUAUAUACUGCAGGUUUUUCACUCCAUAACCACUAAAUAGGCAGAUACUUACUGUAAUAAUUGUCAUAGAAUUGUCAAAAUUUGUUUAACUUGAAGAAGGUACUUUAGGUCUUUUGAGCUUAGUCCAAUGAUUUCUUUGAAAUAUUACCAAUUUGGUAGUUGAUUCAGGCACUUAGUGAUUGCAAAAAUACUGCUGAGGAAUUAGGACUGUGUUUUUAGGGAACUGGUGAUACAAGUUAAGUAGUGUCUGUAAAUCUGUGUGACAUGUCCCACUUGAGACAUUAUAGGUUUGUUUAGUAUUGAUUAGAGGUAGUGCCUCUUAGAUAGCAGUUACACAGAUAUUAGCAUAAUGGCACGGCUUGACUUACAGCACCAUCAUAUAACAUAUUACGUGUUUAUAAUUGCAAGUUUGAUAUUUGGCAAUUCAUAGAAUUUCUCUGUGUGUGUUAUGCUUGGUUUACACAAAAAGUGGGUAUAUUAAAAGAGUAAUUAGUGCGCUUAACAUCCAUUUCCUCUCUGAAUAGAAUGCAGCAUGUAAGAAGUGGUAAAAGGUUAAACACUUGCAGAUACUUUGGAAAAAACAAUUGGUAAAGAGAGAGGACUGUUUUUCAGCAUUGAAAACAGUGCUAUACCCUGUCCUGUGUGUACUGCAGGCAGUUUUUGACACACGAUUUACUAACACCUCAGCACUUGUCAUUGCACCCCAGCAAAUGGGAGUUCAAACCGAACAAUGUUUGUAGUGCGGUGGUUUCAUUGUUUGUAGCCUUCUUGGAGGCAGCUGUGAUAAAUGUGGUAAAUGUAUGUAUUUGAAGGCCAUGGUUAGAAUAUCCUGACAUGCUCUUGGGUUCAUGCAUGUUACUACUUUUUACUGCUUUCAGAUGCAGCCACUCCGAAUGAGAGCAGCUGUCUCCUUUAAAUGCAAGUUACACACACAUAGGAGGCUUGCUGAUAUCCCCAUCCUACAGUAUUGAACAUCACUGAGAAAUACCGCUGUAAUCCAAGAUAAAAGUGUGAACCACAGAGUGAGAAUUCAAAGAAGGAUGAAAAACUCAUUAGCUUAGGAAGAGACUGAAUGAGACUGUUUAUGCUGCAUCUCUUCUAUAGCAGUCAUCCCUUAGACAAAAAUUCCUUGAAACAGCAAUCACACUAAAACAUCAUUCAGUAGUCACUACUAGAAAAUCCCAAGUCUUAAUCAUUGAGGCUGAAGUCACCUCUGUAACACAUCUUCCUUUUUUGGAAUGGUUAUGAGUUGCUGCGUUAGCUGCUGUGGCUUGUUUCUCUGUUGUACGGGCCUGUGGGGUUUUUCAGUCCUGCACUAGACAUUGCACUUUGUUCCUCUGAAAUACUGUCAAGGACUUGAGGUAUUGAAAUCUUUUAAUGAGAAGUCUCAGGAUGCUGUCAUUCCACACCUUGUCAUCAGAGAGUGUGGAAUAAACAUAGGAUUCUUCCACUGCCUAAAAAAGCCUGUAAUUCAAGGUAAAGAGAAUUCCUCAUAUACUUUCCACUGACCCUAGAGAAAGGAAGAAUUAUUUGCAAGAAUCUUUGUCUGUAGUCACUCUGUUAGUCACUAGGGGUUUGUUGCAGGUUUCCAGCAUGCUCACUUCAUCUCACCAAUUAUUUUCCUAGUUAGCUCUUCAGAGGUGUUACCUUACCAAACACACUGUUGCUACAGGUUAUUCACCAUUCAGUACAUUAACUAUUUAAAACUACAUAUAUAGUAGAGCUGAGUUACCUGUAAACAAGAGGGAAUAGCUCCUAAUUGUAGAGUUAGAAGGGUAGAGAUGGUUUUCUUCUUUAAAAAUGUUAGGUCCUUAGAUGUGUUUUUAAUCUAAUGAUUUGUGAUUAGAUUAGAGAAAGCAUUUGAAUCAAGGAUUUUCUGAUGUAGUUAGUUUAAAUAACUUUUCUUAUUUUGCCUUUACAAGUGCUUACCAUUAGAUCACGUAGUUGGGCACAAAGUUAAGAUAACUGAUGGGUGAAGGAGUUUUCUCAAGAGUACUUCAUUCUCCUGAUCCCUUCCAAUUCUGAAUCUUUAGACAGUGGAAGUAGGUGAACUGAAUUUUUUUCAUAUUGGGAUCCCUUUAUGUAUUAUUUGUUGCUAAGUAAUACUUAAACACUGUUACUAAGGCAAAAUAUGCUACCGCAUUUGAAUAUUCCCACCUUUGUAAUUAAAGGAAGAACAUUGCCUCUGUGCAGCUGAAAAACCUGUUCAUGCCCACCUUCAGUUUCUCUUCUAUGGGCAAACUUCAGAGCCUCUCCCGAGGGUUUGUAGGCUAAUGUGGAAGUUCAGUUUGAAGACGUUUAUUGUGCAGGAAUGGGAUUGUUGGUUUGAACUACCCAGGAUCACGCUUUAUUGGCUCUUUGAGGAAGAAGGCACUGCAUUCAAAGCACUUACACAUGCAUGUAUGAGACUUGUUACUAUCCUUUAGGUGUUUGUUUGUAUUUGUCUGGCUGGCACUUAAUCUCUUUUUACUACAUUGUUUUUCUCUUCCUAAAAGCAAGGUUUCUGCUUAUGUCAUUCUAACUCUUUCUUUAAUGAUGAGCUUGGAUUUUUGGCUUUUUUGUUUGUUUUUUUUUAACUCCAGAGCAUCAAUUUUAAGUGUGGUUUUCUGCGUUCUUGGUUUUAAAUCAUUCACUUGCCUUUUGCUUGUAUAGUAGUGGCAUUUUUCUGUCAGCUAAGUUCAUUUCAAAAUAAAAUUUUCUAAUGCAUGAGAAUUGUGUUGUUCAGUGAGGAAGAGUUCUUGGAGCAUGUUUUUGUUCCCUCUGAAGUUUUUGAAUGUUGUGGAAUAGAAGUCAAGUUCUACUUGCAUAUAAAACAUGAUUGUUUCACAAAUUAUUUGUAAGAUACUUAUUUUUCUAUGAAAACCAUCCUUCUAUAAAAUUAAAGUUAAGACAUUUUCCUGUAAUAAUGGGAAAGUUUUAGGAGUAUAACUCAUGAUUUUUUUUUUCCACUGUGCAGUGUAUGCAGAUUAUUUUUUCAAAACGGUAGUAUUUUGCCAUUAAAUCUAAUUGCAGAAAGCUGUCCCUAUACUUAAGUGUCCCCCAAAUCAGGACAGUAUAACAAUAUUUUGUUUACCUAUUUACUUCUUUCUCUAAACUGCUUAAUGACCCAUACCGAGUAGAAAUUUGCAAAGCUGUGUCCCCUGAUUUCUUUCCAAAUAGAAUAUAUUGAAUUGGCAUUUUACAUUCUUUUUAGGCUUUGUAGAUAAUAAGAUGCACUUGGAACUUGUCACAUUUUAGAUGACUAAUACAUGGGGGAAAACUCUUAAUUGCUGGAGUUCGUUUGCAUCCUAGAAAAAUGUGUGCCUGAAGGGAAGCUGCAGCAUCUUGCGUAUGUUACGCGGUGUUUUUGGAAUUCAAUUGCUUAUAUUUUAUUGUUAGAACCUAUUGUCUGUCAGAGCAGGCUGCUGCUGCCGCUUGCUGGCUGCAUUAACUUGCUUAUAAUUUUGGUGUGAGUGGCCAUGUGACUAGCCUGUUGGCCUCACCACUGUGCUUUUAAAAUGCUUUUGUAGUUAAUACAGGAAUGUUUUUGAACUUUUAUAGUUAAGGUUAAACCUUCCCAGACUUGGGAUUCUUGUGCUGCUGACUUAGGGAAAAGUGUCAGUAUUGGCCCAUAACUCAGCAUUUUCUGUGUGUAACCAUGACAGGCAUGCUCAGUUAACCUCUUGAUAAGUGCAUGUUGCAAACUUCUUGUGAGUUGUUAAAGCCUCUUAAAUGAACAACUGUAGAGAUUUCAGAGGUCUUACUCGACAAGGGACAAAUUACUUGACUCACUAUUAAGGGUAGGUUGAAGGUAAAAUUUCUAGACUUUCUUAUCUAUGUGGAACUAAUUUUAUAAUUAAAUACAUCCCAAAUUUAUUUGGGAGGUUUGAAAGUUAGUUAUUACUUACAAGCAAGAGUUUCAAAUACAGCUUCAUUUAUGGAGUCCUAACUACUACUGUCUGUGUGUAUAUGUGCACAUCCAUAUACACGUUUUACCCUUGGAGAGAGUAUUUUUUCUAAUUCAGAGUUACUCUUUAACUAGCAAGGCAGUAAUAAUUUCUAUCACUGGUGAAAAUUAGCUUCAUAAACACAACUACACUGAAAUAAAAUUUUAACAUUAUUUAUUGAAGUGGUAGAAUUUUCCAGUAUGUAUUGAGAAGCUUUUCUGCAUUACAGCCACCUUUGUGUCAAAGAACCUG